rnacentral:rRNA from 1 species
UAAGGAAUAUUGGACAAUGGAGGAAACUCUGAUCCAGCCAUGCCGCGUGUGUGAUGAAGGCCUUCGGGUUGUAAAACACUUUUAGAUGUGACGAUGAUGACGGUAACAUCAGAAAAAGCUCCGGCUAACUUCGUGCCAGCAGCCGCGGUAAUACGAGGGGAGCGAGCGUUGUUCGGAAUCACUGGGCGUAAAGCGUGCGUAGGCGGUUUUGUAAGUCAGAAGUGAAAGCCUGGGGCUCAACCUCAGAAUUGCUUUUGAGACUGCAAAGCUAGAGUAUUGGAGAGGUUAGUGGAAUUCCGAGUGUAGAGGUGAAAUUCGCAGAUAUUCGGAGGAACACCAGUGGCGAAGGCGACUAACUGGACAAUUACUGACGCUGAGGCACGAAAGCGUGGGGAUCAAACAGGAUUAGAUACCCCCGUAGUCC